CAAUAGCGUAUAUUAAAGUUGUUGCGGUUAAAAAGCUCGUAGUUGGAUUUCUGCCGAGGACGACCGGUCCGCCCUCUGGGUGUGUAUCUGGUUUGGCCUGGGCAUCUUCUUGGAGAACGUAGCUGCACUUGACUGUGUGGUGCGGUGUCCAGGACUUUUACUUUGAGGAAAUUAGAGUGUUUCAAGCAGGCACACGCCUUGAAUACAUUAGCAUGGAAUAAUAAGAUAGGACCUCGGUUCUAUUUUGUUGGUUUCUAGAGCUGAGGUAAUGAUUAAUAGGGAUAAUUGGGGGCAUCUGUAUCAACGCGUCAGAGGUGGAAUUCUUGGAUUGCGUUGCGACAAACUACUGCGAAAGCAUUUGCCAAGGAUGUUUUCAUUGA
rnacentral:rRNA from 1 species